GACAGAGGUGCCAAGCGUUAGGCGGAAUCACUGGGCUUAAAGCGUGUGUAGGCGGACCGUUAAGUACCUUGUGAAAUCCCCCGGCUCAACCGGGGAACUGCUGGGUAUACUGGCGGUCUUGGGCCACUCAGGGGCAGAUGGAACAGACGGUGGAGCGGUGAAAUGCGUAGAUAUCGUCUGGAACGCCGAAGGUGAAAACAGCUCGCUGGGGCUGACGCUGACGCUGAGACACGAAAGCCAGGGGAGCGAACGGG
rnacentral:rRNA from 1 species